rnacentral:rRNA from 1 species
UACAGAGGGGGCAAGCGUUAUUCGGAAUUAUUGGGCGUAAAGGGCGCGUAGGCGGCCUGGCAAGUGGAAGGUGAAAUCCCUCGGCUUAACCGAGGAACUGCCCUCCAAAGUGCUUGGCUUGAGUCCGGAAGAGGAGAGUGGAAUUCCUGGUGUAGCGGUGAAAUGCGCAGAUAUCAGGAAGAACACCCGUGGCGAAGGCGGCUCUCUGGGACGUGACUGACGCUGAGACGCGAAAGCGUGGGGAGCGAACAGG